GAGGGGCAGCGUGAACUUAGCUUGCUAAGUUUGAUGGCGACCGGCGCACGGGUGAGUAACACGUAUCCAACCUGCCGAUGACUCGGGGAUAGCCUUUCGAAAGAAAGAUUAAUACCCGAUGGCAUAGUUCUUCCGCAUGGUAGAACUAUUAAAGAAUUUCGGUCAUCGAUGGGGAUGCGUUCCAUUAGGUUGUUGGCGGGGUAACGGCCCACCAAGCCUUCGAUGGAUAGGGGUUCUGAGAGGAAGGUCCCCCACAUUGGAACUGAGACACGGUCCAAACUCCUACGGGAGGCAGCAGUGAGGAAUAUUGGUCAAUGGACGAGAGUCUGAACCAGCCAAGUAGCGUGGAGGAUGACUGCCCUAUGGGUUGUAAACUUCUUUUAUACGGGAAUAAAGUGAGGCACGUGUGCCUUUUUGUAUGUACCGUAUGAAUAAGGAUCGGCUAACUCCGUGCCAGCAGCCGCGGUAAUACGGAGGAUCCGAGCGUUAUCCGGAUUUAUUGGGUUUAAAGGGAGCGUAGGCGGACGCUUAAGUCAGUUGUGAAAGUUUGCGGCUCAACCGUAAAAUUGCAGUUGAUACUGGGUGUCUUGAGUACAGUAGAGGCAGGCGGAAUUCGUGGUGUAGCGGUGAAAUGCUUAGAUAUCACGAAGAACUCC
rnacentral:rRNA from 1 species